AGAACGAACGCUGGCGGCGUGCUUAACACAUGCAAGUCGAACGAGGGUAGCAAUACUCUAGUGGCGGACGGGUGAGUAACGCAUCGAUAACCUGCCCCGCGGUGGGGGACACCCGGCCGAAAGGCCGGCUAAUACCGCAUCCGAUCCCCGGGAUUAAGCCUGGGGAGGAAAGCCGCAAGGCGCCGUGGGAGGGGUCGAUGUCCGAUUAGCUAGUUGGUGUGGUAACGGCGCACCAAGGCGACGAUCGGUAGCUGGUCUGAGAGGAUGAUCAGCCACACUGGAACUGAGACACGGUCCAGACUCCUACGGGAGGCAGCAGUGAGGAAUUUCCGCAAUGGGCGAAAGCCUGACGGAGCGACGCCGCGUGGAGACGAGUCCUCGGAUGUAACUCCUUUGCCCGGGUAAGAAACAAUGACGGUACGGUGAAUAAGCUACGGCUAACUACGU
rnacentral:rRNA from 1 species